CGCAUCUGUGCAUGCAGCAUAUCAAUAAGCGGAGGAAAAGAAACUAACAAGGAUUCCCUUAGUAACGGCGAGUGAAGCGGGAAGAGCUCAAAUUUGAAAUCUUCAAGGUUUUACCUUGACGAAUUGUAGUUUAAAGAAGUGUUUUCUGUUGAAGUUUUGGUAAAAGUUCUUUGGAAUAGGACAUCAUAGAGGGUGAGAAUCCCGUAUUUGACCAUUAUUUUCAGCUGUGUGAUACACUUUCAAAGAGUCGGAUUGUUUGGGAAUGCAGUCCAAAAUGGGUGGUAAAUUUCAUCUAAAGCUAAAUAUUGGCGAGAGACCGAUAGCGAACAAGUACCGUGAGGGAAAGAUGAAAAGAACUUUGAAAGGAGAGUUAAACAGUACGUGAAAUUGUCAAAAGGGAAGCGUUUGACACCAGUGUUGUUUUCUCGAAAAUCAAUUAAAAAGAGUUAGAUUUUGUUGUGUAUUGACCUUAACAGCUUGCAUUUCAAUUUUCUUGCUUUUUUUAAUGCACUUUUCGUUUAACAAGUCAACAUCAGUUUCUUUUGUUGUAAAAAGGUCAUUGGAAGGUGGCUUUCUUUUCGGAGAAAGUGUUUAUAGCCUUUGACUCCUGCAAUCGGAGAGACUGAGGUCUGCUAGCGUAGAUCCUUCGGGGUUAGAUACAUUUGUGCUAAGUUAUAGCUUUUUAUAGACAACUUGUUGACUAUGAUUAGUCUUGUAGCUUACUCGCUUAUGCUAUUUUACCUACGCUUAGGAUGUUGACACACGCGCGUGCUCG
rnacentral:rRNA from 1 species